UUGAACGCUGGCGGCAUGCCUUACACAUGCAAGUCGAACGGCAGCACGGGUGCUUGCACCUGGUGGCGAGUGGCGAACGGGUGAGUAAUACAUCGGAACAUGUCCUGUAGUGGGGGAUAGCCCGGCGAAAGCCGGAUUAAUACCGCAUACGAUCUACGGAUGAAAGCGGGGGACCUUCGGGCCUCGCGCUAUAGGGUUGGCCGAUGGCUGAUUAGCUAGUUGGUGGGGUAAAGGCCUACCAAGGCGACGAUCAGUAGCUGGUCUGAGAGGACGACCAGCCACACUGGGACUGAGACACGGCCCAGACUCCUACGGGAGGCAGCAGUGGGGAAUUUUGGACAAUGGGCGAAAGCCUGAUCCAGCAAUGCCGCGUGUGUGAAGAAGGCCUUCGGGUUGUAAAGCACUUUUGUCCGGAAAGAAAUCCUUGGCUCUAAUACAGUCGGGGGAUGACGGUACCGGAAGAAUAAGCACCGGCUAACUACGUGCCAGCAGCCGCGGUAAUACGUAGGGUGCGAGCGUUAAUCGGAAUUACUGGGCGUAAAGCGUGCGCAGGCGGUUUGCUAAGACCGAUGUGAAAUCCCCGGGCUCAACCUGGGAACUGCAUUGGUGACUGGCAGGCUAGAGUAUGGCAGAGGGGGGUAGAAUUCCACGUGUAGCAGUGAAAUGCGUAGAGAUGUGGAGGAAUACCGCUGGCGAAGGCAGCCCCCUGGGCCAAUACUGACGCUCAUGCACGAAAGCGUGGGGAGCAAACAGGAUUAGAUACCCUGGUAGUCCACGCCCUAAACGAUGUCAACUAGUUGUUGGGGAUUCAUUUCCUUAGUAACGUAGCUAACGCGUGAAGUUGACCGCCUGGGGAGUACGGUCGCAAGAUUAAAACUCAAAGGAAUUGACGGGGACCCGCACAAGCGGUGGAUGAUGUGGAUUAAUUCGAUGCAACGCGAAAAACCUUACCUACCCUUGACAUGGUCGGAAUCCCGCUGAGAGGUGGGAGUGCUCGAAAGAGAACCGGCGCACAGGUGCUGCAUGGCUGUCGUCAGCUCGUGUCGUGAGAUGUUGGGUUAAGUCCCGCAACGAGCGCAACCCUUGUCCUUAGUUGCUACGCAAGAGCACUCUAAGGAGACUGCCGGUGACAAACCGGAGGAAGGUGGGGAUGACGUCAAGUCCUCAUGGCCCUUAUGGGUAGGGCUUCACACGUCAUACAAUGGUCGGAACAGAGGGUUGCCAACCCGCGAGGGGGAGCUAAUCCCAGAAAACCGAUCGUAGUCCGGAUUGCACUCUGCAACUCGAGUGCAUGAAGCUGGAAUCGCUAGUAAUCGCGGAUCACGCAUGCCGCGGUGAAUACGUUCCCGGGUCUUGUACACACCGCC
rnacentral:rRNA from 1 species